CAUGAUAGAUUGCAGGCAAAAUUCAGGCAUACUCAAGAAAAUCUUUUGGAAAAGGAGAAGACAAAUGCGAGAGCACAUGUGCCUGCCUAUAAAUGUGUGUGUGUGUGUGUGUGUGUGUGUGUGUGUGUGUGUGUGUGUGUGUAAGUGUAUGUUUAUGUGUCUACAGUAGUGCAUCCAGGUCCAGCUCCGGCAAAGCCUCCUUCCAAUAAGAGAAGCUGCUGUACUCAGGACAGUCCAGAGCGAAGGACAUGCUGCCCUCCACAGACAGCAUGGGAAAGAAAUGUUCCACCAGCUCACUUAGAUGGCUGUACCUGCAAAACACACACACACAUGAAAACUUAAGACACAUGUGUUAGAGAUUGUAGGUUUGUAAAAGUGGGUUCUGUGACAGUCUAGUCAUUUUAAAAGUUGUUUUGGAGUUUCCUACAAAUAGUUGAGAUUGUUCAGGCUGCAUAUGAACGAUACUGAUGAAAGUGGAUAAACUUCAGCACAUCAGUUUUUUGUUUGUUGCAAAAUUACCAAACCCAGUGAAAUUGAAUGCAGUCAAUUAUUGUGUAAAGUCCAUUACUUCUUAGUUGGGCACAAACACUCGUAUCAGUCAUAGGUUCUUUUUUUUUUGAUAUGACAGAAUUAUCAAAGUCUUUUAGAGUUUUUUUAAAGCUUAAAAAGAGAUUGUUUCGAUCUUUAUUGUUUCACACUUACGAGGACUUGUUGCCUUUCGUUUUCUCCUGGAUGAGCUCUCCUUUCGGGUUGACAGUAAAUAAUCUGGUGUCAGGCACCCCGACCUGCUUAUAGGCAUAAGCAUCCUAAAAAAAAGAAAGGAAAAAUUGUCUCAUCGACCUUUGUUUUAUCUAUGUACACUAAAAAGAUUGUUCUUCUGUUACAGCAGUAAUCCAUGAUCAAUCAUUAGCCAGUGUUUACUUAUGAACUAGCAAACCCCAGACUUUACAGCAACAUUUCCUACACUUACUUCUAACUACUGGAGUAUAUUCAUGGAUGUAUAUGUGUAUAUGUUAAUAGGACAAGGAAAAACACGUAUAUUCUUAUUUAUUUUCUUAACAGUCCUUAGUGAUCAUGUACAAACCCUGAUGCAACAUCACACCUGGAAACCUUGACUGAAAACACAUUUGUGUCUCUUUUCAGAGCCAGUUUUACAGCAUUGCUUACAUUAGUCCUGUUGCCAAAGGCUGCGUAGAAGGGCCGUCUCUGUGGGUUGAACAGGUCCCUGAUGUCACCGAGGCAAGCGAUCUUAAAAACCUCGGGCUUCUUCUCAAUAACUUCUCUGCAAAGUUUAGGACAGACAGUUCACAGUCAAAAGGGAAAUCUGUUUUAAAUGCUUGGCCCCUGUCAUACAUUUACAGUUCUAUUAUUCACAAAGGAAAAUAAUUUAGCACUUUUGUGUUCAAGAAGUGUCCACUAGAGGUCAGCAGUACACUCCAUUGAUUUUCAAACUCCAAAGACAUUUUCCUACAAACAUUUUUUUUAUGUUUUUUGAUGCUGAAUUCUAUUUAUUAUAUUGAUUAUUUCUAUAAAAGGAAACACAGUGAACUAAUAGCAUGUAAACAGUAGUUCAGUAUUAAGAUUCCUUACCUGUGUAGAGCUGAAAAGAGGCUGCUGGGGGCCAACAGCACAGGGCCUUUGGGGAGGACAGUGCCUUGAUCAUUAACCCACUGAAGGUAGUCCUUUGUGAUGGCAGCCAUGCCUAUGGCCCUGGCUGAACAAUACAGGAACUUAUAACCAUUUCUGCAAGGAAAGGGGCAACAACAUUUCAGGUAAACAAAUUGAUUCACAGAAAGAAAAAACUUACAGAAUUCUUCUGACAAGACAUUUGUGCUGAGACCUGUUUUCUUUUAGUAUUAGUGACAAAAGAUUAGCACUUCAAAUAAAAUCUAAUCUUUUUACAAUUAACUGAACAGCUGAACUCAUUAUAAAAGCCCAACGUAAAAUAAAAAGGCAAACAUCUGGUAGAGCAGAUUAGACAGACAUCUGCAAAAUCAGAAUGACAUCAUCUGUGGGAGAUAAAUUGGAUCUGUUUUGGCCUGUGAAAUGUUCGUAUUCCAUGUGGAAGUUCAGUAAGGGCGGAUACAAAAGGGAAAAUAACAAACUAAAUAAACACAUUUCAUGAUGACUUUCUGUUGUUUAAAAUGCUGGUAAUAUUUUUCUACACAUACUGGUGUAUUUUGUGGUAGAGUUUGGCGAUGCCUUUGUGAGUCCAGUCUUUUCCAAACUGAGGUAGAAUAUGACCCAGAGCGUCAGACCUGCAGGAGACAAGACCCCUCAUGAAACACGUUGCUGUUAAAGAUGCACUAUAGAGCAAUCAGGAACUCUGCUUAACUGGCUUUAUAUCAGAUUGUCUAAUGCACAAUAUAUGUCUGAUUUACUUUGUGAUGGUGCCGUCUAUGUCUGAUAUGAUGAUGCGAUCGUUCCAGUUCCACAGGUAGAUGGCAGCCUCACAGCGACAGGUGCCUUGGUACUGUGUGGUCACACUGAAAACCACUUUGUUGGCUCCUUCACGCAGGUUCAAGUGUUCCUGGUUGUGAGAAAAUGACAUGAUUAGCUUAGCGAAGAGAAAACAAAAGCACAAGGACAUGGUCAUCCUCUACAUACACUUCAUAGCACUAUACAAUUCUUAAUGUAGAUGUAUGAAUAUGUGAGCAUGUGCUUCUCUUACUAUCUGUUCAGAGGUCAGACGCAGUGAUUUGCGGUACAUCUGACUGAUGCACUGAGUGGCGCUGAGGGUUUCUGUUGAUAGGCUGACUGGAAGGGUUGCUUUUCUGCCGAGUCCAGCUGCCUCAUCACUGUCCACGUCAUCCAAUGUGGCUCUGGAGGAAAAGUGCACAUUUAAUUAACACACUAUUAUUCUUCCCUGUUACUGUGCCUCUAUUUAAAGACAUUAAAUACUAACUCACUGACACAGACACUGACUGAAAAUAAGAAAACCUUCAACAUGGCUCUAAGCAACCUCAUUUAAUGUGAAAUGGACGAUUUAGACAAAGCUCUGGCACCCUCUGGUGGCACUUGGGUAUCCUACAUGCUGAGACUUUGAAUUGAUUCAAAAGAAUAUCACGCUGCACCUACUCAAAAAUGAAACGAAAGCUAGUGCGUAUAGGUUCAGACUGACACAUAGAUAUGUUUCUAGGGCUGCAUUUGUUUUCUUUACUUUUUUCACUACAAUAUUGGAGAUCCUAAGAAUGUUAAGAAAUUCAGAUAUCAUUCAAGUGCUCACAAAAUACUUAAACGGACACUUGGAUGGAGCCAGUGGAAGUGAAUGAGACCUUACAUUACUCUGUCACUCCUGUGUGUGGCCUUAUUCAACACUUGUGUUUUAUAUAAUCAUUGGGGCAACAGACAAAUAGCAAAAAUUCUGUCCAAUUAUUUUUUUUACAUUUAUGUGAAUUAUGAAAAACAAUAAAUAAAAAGAAAGGACAGGCAAUCUUUGGAUUAAUCUUUCCAGCGAUGCUUCUCAAUGUCCUUAAGAACCCUCAAACAUUAAAAGUAGAAAGACAGCUGUUGAGCAGGAAGAUCAGAUUCCAGCUGAAACACAGCAUGUGAGGUUUUAUAAGGCAGAGUUUCUGUGUUAAUCACUUCUCAGUGAGAUGACUUACUUUACUGAGGAAGAUACACUUGCCAGUGGCUCAUCUUGCUCCUCUUUUGAGAUCUUCUGCUGAAAACAAGGUUACAUCUUCAGGUAUAUUCUCACAAGAUACAGUAGCAAUGAUGGUUUUUUUUUACAAACAGAACUUAUUUUUAUGUCACACAUGGAUUUAACAAAACUGCACUGAAAAAUAUUAUAAUUACAAUCAUUUCUAUUACAGGUGCAAACUGACUGUAGCUCAUCAAAACACAUUUGAUUGAGACUAACGGGGGUUCUAAGGAAGGUACCUGGUUGUUGUCCAUGUCUCUUCUCCUCCAGGAGAACCACCAGCGUCCACUCUUUUUAGGCAUCUUGUCUUUCAUCAGCCGGUCAAUUGUACCCUACAAUAGUAUUAAUAAUCAUAAUAAUAGAUUGGAUUUAUAUAGCUCCUUUCAAAGGACCCAAGGACUCUUCAGAUUUAGAAUUUAGAAGUAAAUUCUAAAUGUGAAAUAUGAGUAUUUCAAAAAGAUUUUUAAAAAUUAAAUACUAUAAUUUUACAAUUGUGAUUAAUCAUGAUUAAAUACAGUCUCUACUGUUAAUAAUCACAAUUAUAAUUUUUACUGAUUGACUGAACUAUUUAAUCAAUAUUUCUAAGGACUAAGGUAGGAAACGUGAAAUACCUUUGGUAGAUUUUUCUGGAAAGUUGUCAUUGACAAGACCAUUGGAGCAGCUGCUGCCCAGUUAUAAUAGCUGUGAAAGAUGAACAAUCAUUGACAUAAACACCAAAAUACUGACCAUUUUUAAUUCAUCUAGACGUACUGUACAUGCAAACAAUCAAACAUCAACAAAUAAUUUACAGUUGUGAUAGCAAAUCUUACUUGGAGUUGAUGCAGACUACAAGACUCAGAUCUUCAAUGAUUCCCGGAUUGUUGGCAAAAUCCUGGUAUGUCACGAUAUGCUCCAUGAACUUUUCUGAAUGAACAGAAAACUCAACACGGUUAAAUUACCUCACUGUGGCUCCUUUAAUCCUGCAACAUUGAAAAGCCACUCCACAACAGCAGCAGCGAUUCCCCGUCCCUUACCCUUAGUGAUCUGGCUGGUGUCGCCCUCUUGUCCACAGAGGGACAUGCUGACAUCCAUGUUGUAGGAGGUGGAAUCAGACAGAUACUCUGUCCCGCUGUCCAUGGCCCCGCUGCCCACAGACUGUGGGGACUGGCUCCCUGAGUAGGAACCCUGCUCGGCCCCAUGCUGAGAACCCCCCUCUGCCUCACUGCAGGGAACAAAGACACUCAAAUUCAAUCACUGUGGACAUUACUGACAUCAUUGCCUUUUAAUGUUUGUUUUGAAAAUAAACGAGUUCUUCUAAAUAGGUUUAAAAUGUACCACUUAUAUUGUAUGUUAUCAAUCUAAUCUAACAUACAUUCUUUUUUUUUUCACCUCUUAGGGAAAUAAAGUGCAGCCUUCUCCGGGUCCAACGUCCUCAGAUCGUCCAGAGGACACCUCAGAAGAAUUUGCUGAAGCCUCCACAGUAGUCCAACUGGUCGCGGCGUCUCUCCCGUCAGCUUUUGGUCCACGGUCCUCCUCCCCCUCUUCUGCCCAGGGAUAUAUCCCACUGUCCUCCUCACUCACA